UCUUCCGCAAUGGACGAAAGUCUGACGGAGCAACGCCGCGUGAGUGAUGAAGGUUUUCGGAUCGUAAAACUCUGUUGUUAGGGAAGAACAAGUACCGUUCGAAUAGGGCGGUACUUUGACGGUACCUAACCAGAAAGCCACGGCUACCUACGUGCAAUCAGACGCGGUAAUACGUAGGUGGCAAGCGUUGUCCGGAAUUAUUGGGCGUAAAGCGCGCGCAGGCGGUUUCUUAAGUCUGAUGUGAAAGCCCCCGGCUCAACCGGGGAGGGUCGUUGGAAACUGGGGAACUUGAGUGCAGAAGAGGAGAGUGGAAUUCCACGUGUAGCGGUGAAAUGCGUAGAGAUGUGGAGGGACACCAGUGGCGAAGGCGACUCUCUGGUCUGUAACUGACGCUGAGGCGCGAAAGCGUGGGGAGCGAACAG
rnacentral:rRNA from 1 species